rnacentral:rRNA from 1 species
UACGUAGGUGACAAGCGUUGUCCGGAUUUACUGGGCGUAAAGAGCGCGCAGGCGGUCGUUCAAGUCGAGUGUGAAAGCCCCCGGCUCAACUGGGGAGGGUCAUUCGAUACUGAUCGACUCGAAGGCAGGAGAGGGUAGUGGAAUUCCCGGUGUAGUGGUGAAAUGCGUAGAUAUCGGGAGGAACACCAGUGGCGAAGGGCGACUACCUGGCCUGUUCUUGACGCUGAGGCGCGAAAGCUAGGGGAGCAAACGGG